rnacentral:rRNA from 1 species
CCUAAGGUAGCGAAAUUCCUUGUCGGGUAAGUUCCGACCUGCACGAAUGGCGUAAUGAUGGCCAGGCUGUCUCCACCCGAGACUCAGUGAAAUUGAACUCGCUGUGAAGAUGCAGUGUACCCGCGGCAAGACGGAAAGACCCCGUGAACCUUUACUAUAGCUUGACACUGAACACUGGUCCUUGAUGUGUAGGAUAGGUGGGAGGCUUUGAAGCGUGGACGCCAGUCUGCGUGGAGCCAACCUUGAAAUACCACCCUUUAAUGGCUGGUGUUCUAACGUAGACCCGUAAUCCGGGUUGCGGACAGUGUCUGGUGGGUAGUUUGACUGGGGCGGUCUCCUCCUAAAGAGUAACGGAGGAGCACGAAGGUUGGCUAAUCCUGGUCGGACAUCAGGAGGUUAGUGCAAUGGCAUAAGCCAGCUUGACUGCGAGCGUGACGGCGCGAGCAGGUGCGAAAGCAGGUCAUAGUGAUCCGGUGGUUCUGAAUGGAAGGGCCAUCGCUCAACGGAUAAAAGGUACUCCGGGGAUAACAGGCUGAUACCGCCCAAGAGUUCAUAUCGACGGCGGUGUUUGGCACCUCGAUGUCGGCUCAUCACAUCCUGGGGCUGAAGUAGGUCCCAAGGGUAUGGCUGUUCGCCAUUUAAAGUGGUACGCGAGCUGGGUUUAGAACGUCGUGAGACAGUUCGGUCCCUAUCUGCCGUGGGCGCUGGAGAAUUGAGGGGGGCUGCUCCUAGUACGAGAGGACCGGAGUGGACGCAUCACUGGUGUUCGGGUUGUCAUGCCAAUGGCACUGCCCGGUAGCUAAAUGCGGAAGAGAUAAGUGCUGAAAGCAUCUAAGCACGAAACUUGCCCCGAGAUGAGUUCUCCCUGACUCCUUGAGAGUCCUGAAGGAACGUUGAAGACGACGACGUUGAUAGGCCGGGUGUGUAAGCGCAGCGAUGCGUUGAGCUAACCGGUACUAAUGAACCGUGAGGCUUAACCUU